rnacentral:rRNA from 1 species
UACGUAGGGGGCUAGCGUUGUCCGGAAUCAUUGGGCGUAAAGCGCGCGUAGGCGGCCCUGUUAGUCCGCUGUAAAAGUCAAAGGCUCAACCUUUGAAUGCCGGUGGAUACUGCAGGGCUAGAGUCCGGAAGAGGCGAGUGGAAUUCCUGGUGUAGCGGUGGAAAUGCGCAGAUAUCAGGAGGAACACCAACGGCGAAGGCAGCUCGCUGGGACGGUACUGACGCUAAGGCGCGAAAGCGUGGGGAGCGAACAGG